rnacentral:rRNA from 1 species
CCAGACUCCUACGGGAGGCAGCAGUGGGGAAUAUUGGACAAUGGGGGGAACCCUGAUCCAGCGACGCCGCGUGAGUGAAGAAGUAUUUCGGUAUGUAAAGCUCUAUCAGCAGGGAAGAAAGAAAUGACGGUACCUGACUAAGAAGCCCCGGCUAACUACGUGCCAGCAGCCGCGGUAAUACGUAGGGGGCAAGCGUUAUCCGGAUUCACUGGGUGUAAAGGGAGCGUAGACGGCGACGCAAGUCUGGAGUGAAAGCCCGGGGCCCAACCCCGGGACUGCUCUGGAAACUGCGGCGCUGGAGUACGGGAGGGGCAGGCGGAAUUCCUGGUGUAGCGGUGAAAUGCGUAGAUAUCAGGAGGAACAUCAGUGGCGAAGGCGGCCGCCUGGCACAAAACUGACGCUGAGGUGCGAAAGCGUGGGUAGCGAACAGGAUUAGAUACCCCGGUAA